AGUGAACGCUGGCGGUAGGCCUAACACAUGCAAGUCGAACGGCAGCACAGAGGAGCUUGCUCCUUGGGUGGCGAGUGGCGGCCGGGUGAGGAAUACAUCGGAAUCUACUCUGUCGUGGGGGAGAACGUAGGGAAACUUACGCUAAUACCGCAUAAGACCUACGGGUGAAAGCAGGGGAUCUUCGGACCUUGCGCGAUUGAAUGAUCCGAUGUCGGAUGAGCUAGUUGGCGGGGUAAAGGCCCACCACGGCGACGAGCCGUAGCUGGUCCGAGAUGAUGAUCAGCCACACUGGAACUGAGACACGGUCCAGACUCCUACGGGAGGCAGCAGUGGGGAAUAUUGGACAAUGGUCGCAAGCCUGAUCCAGCCAUACCGCGUGGGUGAAGAAGGCCUUCGGGUUGUAAAGCCCUCUUGUUGGGAAAGAAAUCCAUCUGGUUAAUACCCGGGUGGGAUGACGUUACCCAAAGAAUAAGCACCGGCUAACUUCGUGCCAGCCGCCGCCGUAA
rnacentral:rRNA from 1 species